rnacentral:rRNA from 1 species
AGUCGAGCGGUAACAUUUCAAAGCUUGCUUUGAAGAUGACGAGCGGCGGACGGGUGAGUAAUGCUUGGGAAUAUGCCUUAUGGUGGGGGACAACAGUUGGAAACGACUGCUAAUACCGCAUAAUGUCUACGGACCAAAGGGGGGGAUCUUCGGACCUCUCGCCAUUUGAUUAGCCCAAGUGAGAUUAGCUAGUUGGUGAGGUAAUGGCUCACCAAGGCGACGAUCUCUAGCUGGUUUGAGAGGAUGAUCAGCCACACUGGGACUGAGACACGGCCCAGACUCCUACGGGAGGCAGCAGUGGGGAAUAUUGCACAAUGGGCGCAAGCCUGAUGCAGCCAUGCCGCGUGUGUGAAGAAGGCCUUCGGGUUGUAAAGCACUUUCAGUAAGGAGGAAAGGGAUGUAGUUAAUAGCUGCAUUCUGUGACGUUACUUACAGAAGAAGCACCGGCUAACUUCGUGCCAGCAGCCGCGGUAAUACGAGGGGUGCAAGCGUUAAUCGGAAUUACUGGGCGUAAAGCGUUCGUAGGCGGUUGAUUAAGCAAGAUGUGAAAGCCCAGGGCUCAACCUUGGAACUGCAUUUUGAACUGGUCAACUAGAGUACUGUAGAGGGUGGUGGAAUUUCCAG